GACGUAGGGCGCAAGCGUUGUCCGGAUUUAUUGGGCGCAAAGAGCUCGUAGGUGGUUUGUCGCGUUGUCCGUGAAAACUCACAACUCAAUUGUGGGCGUGCGGGCGAUACGGGCAGACUGGAGUACUGCAGGGGAGACUGGAAUUCCUGGUGUAGCGGUGGAAUGCGCAGAUAUCAGGAGGAACACCGGUGGCGAAGGCGGGUCUCUGGGCAGUAACUGACGCUGAGGAGCGAAAGCGUGGGGAGCGAACAGG
rnacentral:rRNA from 1 species